rnacentral:rRNA from 1 species
UACGUAGGGGGCGAGCGUUGUCCGGAAUCAUUGGGCGUAAAGCGCGUGUAGGCGGCCCGGUAAGUCCGCUGUGAAAGUCCAGGGCUCAACCCUGGGAUGCCGGUGGAUACUGUCGGGCUCGAGUCCGGAAGAGGCGAGUGGAAUUCCUGGUGUAGUGGUGAAAUGCGCAGAUAUCAGGAGGAACACCAAUUGCGAAGGCAGCUCGCUGGGACGUUACUGACGCUGAGGCGCGAAAGCGUGGGGAGCAAACAGG